UGUCAACGUCAGCCUUAGGCAAGUUGACGUCUACUUCAGGGCCCUCUGCUUUGAAGCCAGGCAUGCUGAACUUGGGCAUUUUCAUCUUGGGCAUCUUCAGGUGCCAGUCUGGGCCAUGAACAUCCACAUCUGGGGCAUCAAUGUCCAUUUUGGGUCCUUUGAUGUCAACAUCUGGCACUUUCAUUUCACCUUCUACCUUGGGCACAGACACAUCCAUAUCCCCUUUGACUUUGGGGCCUUUCAGGUGUAAGUCCACAUCAGGCAUGGAGAUCUUGGGGGCCUUGAAGUGCAUCUCAGGCAUCUUAAACUUGGGCCCUUUCAACUUUGCAUCAGGACACUCCAGA
rnacentral:lncRNA from 1 species